UCGAGGCCGGACGGCUGGAGAUGCGCCGCCAGGUCGUCGACCUGGCGGGGGAGGUCCGCAAGGUCAUCGCCGGACGGGUCGCGGCCGGCGAGCCCGAG
rnacentral:tRNA from 1 species